rnacentral:rRNA from 1 species
UACGUAGGUCCCGAGCGUUGUCCGGAAUUACUGGGUGUAAAGGGUGCGCAGGCGGUCUUGUGCGUCAGAGGUGAAAUAUCACGGCUCAACCGUGAGGGUGCCUUUGAUACGGCAAGACUUGAGUACGAGAGAGGGUGAUGGAAUUCCUGGUGUAGCGGUGAAAUGCGUAGAUAUCAGGAGGAAUACCGGUGGCGAAGGCGGCCCACUGGCUCGAUACUGACGCUGAGGUGCGAAAGCGUGGGGAGCAAACAGG